GUCGAGAGGCUUCGGCAAUGGGGGAAACCCUGACCGAGCGACGCCGCGUGGGCGAUGAAGGCCUUCGGGUUGUAAAGCCCUUUCAGAUGGGAAGAAGGAUCGUGGAGUGAACAAUUCCACGGUCGUGACGGUACCGUCAGAAGAAGCUCCGGCUAACUCCGUGCCAGCAGCCGCGGUAAUACGGGGGGAGCAAGCGUUGUUCGGAUUCAUUGGGCGUAAAGGGCGCGUAGGCGGUCAGGUCAGUCCGUCAUGAAAUGUACCGGUUCAACCGGGGCACCGUGUCGGAAACUGCCUGGCUUGAGGCCGAGGGAGGAAGGUGGAAUUCCUGGUGUAGCGGUGAAAUGCGUAGAUAUCAGGAGGAACACCCGUGGCGAAGGCGACCUUCUAUCUCGGAUCUGACGCUGAGGCGCGAAAGCUAGGGGAGCAAACGGGAUUAGAUACCCCAGUAGUCC
rnacentral:rRNA from 1 species